rnacentral:misc_RNA from 1 species
GAAAUGCGAUAAGUAAUGUGAAUUGCAGAAUUCAGUGAAUCAUCGAAUCUUUGAACGCACAUUGCGCCCGCCAGUAUUCUGGCGGGCAUGCCUGUCUGAGCGUCAUUUCAACCCUCCCCGCGGCAUUCGUGCCGGGGGGCUGUUGGGGCUCGACGACCGCCUCCCCGGCGGGCGUCGUCCCCUAAACCCAGUGGCAGCCUCGCCGCGGCCUCCCUCGCGCAGUAAACAAUCCUCGCGGGCGGAGACACAGCGACGGAUCGCCGUAAAACCCCCAACUCUUCCAGUGGUUGACCUCAGAUCAGGUAGGAAUACCCGCUGAACUUAA